rnacentral:rRNA from 1 species
AUGAGCAAGAGCCUUAGUCCGCGCCACCAGGGCCUGUCUACUUACGAGAAGGAGUACCUAGCCAUUGUGGUGGCCAUUAAUCAAUGGAGACCGUACCUUCAGCACAGCGAGUUUAUCAUCUACACAGACCAGAAGAGCCUAGUACACCUCGAAGAAUAGUGCUUGACAACUCCUUGGCAACAGCGGGCAUUUACCAAGUUGCUCGGCCUACGGUACAUCAUCCGCUACAAGAAGGGGUCAGAUAACACGGCCGACGCGCUCUCUCGCUCGCAAACCCCUGAGCUGUUGUUCAAUGUCACCUCUUGUCAACCCAGCUGGCUCGAGGAUGUGAUAGCCAGCUACAACUACAAUGCUCAAGCCUAG